UGAAACCAGAUAUGACUUAGUGGCGGACGGGUGAGUAACACGUGAGCAACCUGCCUUUCAGAGGGGGGAUAACGGCUGGAAACAGUCGCUAAUACCGCAUGAAGUGUUCGGAUGGCAUCAUUUGAACAUCAAAGAUUUAUCGCUGAAAGAUGGGCUCGCGUCUGAUUAGAUAGUUGGUGGGGGUAACGGCCUACCAAGUCGACGAUCAGUAGCCGGACUGAGAGGUUUGAACGGCCACAUUGGGACUGAGAUACGGCCCAGACUCU
rnacentral:rRNA from 1 species